GACGUAGGGCGCGAGCGUUGUCCGGAAUUAUUGGGCGUAAAGAGCUCGUAAGCGGCUUGUCGCGUCUGCUGUGAAAACUCGGGGCUUAACUCCGGGCCUGCAGUGGGUACGGGCAGACUAGAGUGCGGUAGGGGAGACUGGAAUUCCUGGUGUAGCGGUGAAAUGCGCAGAUAUCAGGAGGAACACCGGUGGCGAAGGCGGGUCUCUGGGCCGUAACUGACGCUGAGGAGCGAAAGCGUGGGGAGCGAACAGG
rnacentral:rRNA from 1 species